rnacentral:rRNA from 1 species
CAACCUGCCGAUAACUCGGGGAUAGCCUUUCGAAAGAAAGAUUAAUACCCGAUGGUAUAUUUUCACCGCAUGGUGAAACUAUUAAAGAAUUUCGGUUAUCGAUGGGGAUGCGUUCCAUUAGGCAGUUGGUGAGGUAACGGCUCACCAAACCUUCGAUGGAUAGGGGUUCUGAGAGGAAGGUCCCCCACAUUGGAACUGAGACACGGUCCAAACUCCUACGGGAGGCAGCAGUGAGGAAUAUUGGUCAAUGGGCGCGAGCCUGAACCAGCCAAGUAGCGUGAAGGAUGACGGCCCUAUGGGUUGUAAACUUCUUUUAUAUGGGAAUAAAGUUUGGUAUGUAUACCAUUUUGUAUGUACCAUAUGAAUAAGGAUCGGCUAACUCCGUGCCAGCAGCCGCGGUAAUACGGAGGAUCCGAGCGUUAUCCGGAUUUAUUGGGUUUAAAGGGAGCGUAGGUGGAUUGUUAAGUCAGUUGUGAAAGUUUGCGGCUCAACCGUAAAAUUGCAGUUGAAACUGGCAGUCUUGAGUACAGUAGAGGUGGGCGGAAUUCGUGGUGUAGCGGUGAAAUGCUUAGAUAUCACGAAGAACUCCGAUUG